rnacentral:lncRNA from 1 species
UAAUUAGGUCUUUCCACUUUUCUGUGAAAAGACCUAUUGUUUUUCUUCUGAUUAUUUUUUUUUCUUCUUCCGCCAAAUUUUGUUCUUGCGAUAAACAUUUGUUUCGCAAUAUGUGUCGCUUAGAUAUUUUGGUAUAUGAUAUCGAACAGUUUAUGCGCUUUUGAAAUUUACCCUGCGUAACCGAAUACUUUUCUUUGUAGGAGUUAUCUCCCCAAACACUGUUUUCCUUGUUAGCGCAUCUCCUUCGCAACCGUAAAAGAUUACGACAAAUUUAUUUUAUAAAAUUGCUCGUUAUAUCCUUCGCAUGAUUUGUCCAAUUUCGACCGAAGCAAUAUGAACGCUCCAUAUGAGAGUUAUUUCCCUUUUUGUAUUUGAAAUUUUGAAAUGUAUUUUAAACUGGAACACCAUAAGUGAUAGAGACCUAGGAUCUUUUGAUUUGAGGUCCUUGGUCCAAAAAAAUGAAAAUUAGGUCAAG